rnacentral:rRNA from 1 species
AUUGAACGCUGGCGGCAGGCCUAACACAUGCAAGUCGAGCGGAGCGGCGGACGGGUGAGUAAUGCCUAGGAAUCUGCCUGGUAGUGGGGGAUAACGUCCGGAAACGGGCGCUAAUACCGCAUACUAUCAGAUGAGCCUAGGUCGGAUGAGCUAGUUGGUGGGGUAAAGGCCUACCAAGGCGACGAUCCGUAACUGGGCUGAGAGGAUGAUCAGUCACACUGGAACUGAGACACGGGCCAGACUCCUACGGGAGGCAGCAGUGGGGAAUAUUGGACAAUGGGCGAAAGCCUGAUCCAGCCAUGCCGCGUGUGGGAAGAAGGUCUUCGGAUGGUAAAGCACUGUAAGUUGGGAGGCGUUACCAAAAGAAUAAGCAACGGCUAACUCCGUGCCAGCAGCCGCGGUAAUAC